UCUCUGGGCACCCAACGCAUACUUACCGUGUUGAGGGGGGGAGAGAGAGAGAGAGGACGACCUAAAGGACGACAGAAUAGCCACGAACAAAACCAGAAUCGCGAGGAUAAGGUGGUAACCAAGCAGAGGCCACAGACGUUGGAUGCACUUUUUGCAGAUAUGAAGCAGCAGAGGAUGAGGUUGAUGACCCAGCAAGCAUAUCGUGGUAAUGGCCAUCAACCUGCACAAAAGCGAAAUGCCCUGCACCAACAUCGUGGCAGAGGCAGAUCACCAAGUGGCUUCACGCAACAGUGUGGCAACUUCAGUAAAUGAUACCUACUCGUGUUUCUCUUAUCUGCUUAUGCAUAUUAAUAAUGUCCACGUUUCUCUCAUUCUGGAACUUCAGCUGGUUAGACAGUGUGUAAGGAGGAUCCAUCCUGUUCUAUCUCCAACUUCACUUGUCUUUUCUAAUGCAUCGAAGCAACCGAGCAAGAAGUAUCACUAAGAGGUUCUUCCGUCUUCACAAACCUUCCUCGUACCUUCGGUUGGCUAUCUGCAAGAGCCUCCCUGCGAGCAUACUGCAAAACACCAGACUUGCAUCACUUUGCAGAACUUGCGGUCUGGUUGAAAAAUGCAAGUUAAAAUUAGCACAAGGAUGGAACAAACAUGGACUCUUGCUUUAUCAGCAGCAACAGAGGUUCAGAAGUUUUAUGGAUCAGUCACUGUUCUUAAGACUUUGCUUCCAUAAGAAAGAAACUAUGCGGGGAACACAAGGAGAAAGAAAAGAAAUCAGGAACUUCUCAAUGGAAGAACAUUGGCUGUUGUCUUCCCUGUCCUCGUGCUUUUCUUGCCAAGAUUCUGCCAUAAAAGCUCAAUAAUUGGAGAAGUUCCCGAAGAAUCUUAAUCAUUUCCACUAAGUGCUUAAGCUGGAAGAAGUGAUGGCCAAGACAAGAGAAUGGCUUGAAGAAUUCCAACUACGGUAAGAUAAGGAAGAGAAAAAGGCAGAUUUACUACACUGGAAAGCAGAUCAUGAAGGAAAAGGUAGGCAUAUGCUGUCUUCCAAUUGGACCAAAGGAUCCAGGUUCUUCCUCUGACGUGGCUGAGUGAGGCCGAUGGCUUCACCUGUUUCCCGCCUGAUGACCUGAAAAAGAUGGUAUCCAAAAAUGGUGGGGACGAGAUAUUGUGGACUCUAUUUCCAUACAAACUCAAGAUAUGCUUUUCAGACUCUAUUUAUUGACAAUCGGAUAUCAUCGAGGAAUUUGUGCAAAUCUACUGUCAAUGCUGGUUGAUCCCAGGAGUUAUAAAUGGAAAGAUUUUAUGAUAUCAUUUGUUAUUUUUUCUUAAUUUUCUUUAUUAAGUUACUAAAUAAAGGGAAAAUUUUGAUGAGCAUGGUAGGUUGGUCAAUGGCAAAAAGGACAUGAACUCGAAGCAGGGAAAGGAGAGGAGAACAGGAGUGGGAAUCUAACAGAUCAAUCCACUUGUAAGAGAGUUGUGAAGAGUGUGAGUUGCAAUGGGAUUGGAAGCUUAACAAAGGACAACACCUCCAAAACCCAAACAUGAAUGAAUAGUUGGGAGGUGUGUGGGUUGUGAUGAGGUUGACAGCUUGACAAAGAGAACUUGUGCUUUUGAUUGAGCCUUCCCUGCCAUUACUUUGUUCCUCUUAUUUCUUCUGCCUGUUGAUGCGUAUCCACCAUUGAUGGCACCAACUCAGGUUAUGUUCUUCUCGGAAGUGCUUCCUUGAUGAGCUCGAGGCUGUCAGCAAAGUCAUCCAAGAGCUGGUGAGGGUCAGGUAUGGCCAAUUCAUCCACUG